AAGUAACAACAGCCAGUGGAGACAAAAAGAACUGCUUCUCUUUCUUUCCCCCUCCAAGUUCCUAGUGGAGGGCUGAGUCCAGCAUCCCAGACUCGUGUGACUAUAUAGGUAAUGAAAGUCUUGCGGCACAAGUACCUCAUCAACUUCUAUCAGGCCAUUGAGAGCACAUCUCGAGUAUACAUCAUUCUGGAGCUGGCUCAGGGUGGUGACGUCCUUGAAUGGAUCCAGCGCUACGGGGCCUGCUCUGAGCCCCUUGCUGGCAAGUGGUUCUCCCAGCUGACCCUGGGCAUUGCCUACCUGCACAGCAAGAGCAUCGUGCACCGGUGAGGGCACUGCCACCCAGACUGAGGCCUUUGCCCUCAAGGGGGUUUUAUGCACAUCUCCCAUUUCCUGCCCUUUUUUCCUCUCUCGAACUCCCUCCUCAAUAUCUAGGCCUAUUCAUGCACUCUAUUUUAAUCAUAUGGUCAAGGAUACUGAUAAAGUACUCACUGUAGGCAAAGCAUUUUAUGAAAUACAGUGGUGAGCUCCCGGUGGUCCUCAGAUACCAUCCUCUCUCUCUCUGCCUACUUUGGGCUCUGCUCACAACUCCAUGGCUUUCCUUCCUCUCUACCUUGUGCCCUCAUAAUGGUUUCUACCUGCCACUUAUUCUGUCCUCAUCUUUACCCUCUGACCCCUGGCCCUUCAGCUCCCAGUCUAAAACUAAGCCCUCUCCCCAGCCUGAUGCCCAGCCUUUCUGCUGCUGGUAGGGACUUAAAGUUGGAGAACCUGUUGCUGGACAAGUGGGAGAAUGUGAAGAUAUCAGACUUUGGCUUCGCCAAGAUGGUGCCUUCUAACCAGCCUGUGGAUUCUAGCCCUUCUUACCGCCAAGUGAACUGCUUUUCCCACUUCAGCCAGACUUACUGUGGCAGCUUUGCUUAUGCUUGCCCGGAGAUCUUACGAGGCUUGCCCUACAACCCUUUCCUGUCUGACACCUGGAGCAUGGGCAUCAUCCUUUACACUCUAGUGGUCGCCCAUCUGCCCUUUGAUGACACCAAUCUCAAAAAGCUGCUAAGAGAGACUCAGAAGGAGGUCACUUUCCCAGCUAACCAUACCAUCUCCCAGGAGUGCAAGAACUUGAUCCUCCAGAUGCUACGCCAAGCCACUAAGCGUGCCACCAUUCUGGACAUCAUCAAGGAUCGCUGGGUGCUCAAGUUCCAGCCUGAGCAACCCACCCAUGAGAUCAGGCUGCUUGAGGCCAUGUGCCAGCUCCACAACACCACUAAACAGCACCAAUCCUUGGAAAUUAUGACCUGAAAAUGGCUGAAGGAGGGGGCUAAGAGAGGAGCAAAGCAGGAGGUCUUGGGCUAAAAAUCUUUUAUACCAAAAAUAAAUCUAAGUCUGAUUUAGUUUCAUCAA
rnacentral:sRNA from 1 species